rnacentral:rRNA from 1 species
GAUGAACGCUGGCGGCGUGCCUAAUACAUGCAAGUCGAGCGAACAGACGAGGAGCUUGCUCCUCUGACGUUAGCGGCGGACGGGUGAGUAACACGUGGAUAACCUACCUAUAAGACUGGGAUAACUUCGGGAAACCAGAGCUAAUACCGGAUAAUAUAUUGAACCGCAUGGUUCAAUAGUGAAAGACGGUUUUGCUGUCACUUAUAGAUGGAUCCGCGCCGCAUUAGCUAGUUGGUAAGGUAACGGCUUACCAAGGCAACGAUGCGUAGCCGACCUGAGAGGGUGAUCGGCCACACUGGAACUGAGACACGGUCCAGACUCCUACGGGAGGCAGCAGUAGGGAAUCUUCCGCAAAGGGCGAAAGCCUGACGGAGCAACGCCGCGUGAGUGAUGAAGGUCUUCGGAUCGUAAAACUCUGUUAUUAGGGAAGAACAAAUGUGUAAGUAACUAUGCACGUCUUGACGGUACCUAAUCAGAAAGCCACGGCUAACUACGUG